rnacentral:rRNA from 1 species
GACGAACGCUGGCGGCGUGCUUAACACAUGCAAGUCGAACGGAAAGGCCCUGCUUUUGUGGGGUGCUCGAGUGGCGAACGGGUGAGUAGCAAGUGAGUAACCUGCCCUUGACUUUGGGAUAACUUCAGGAAACUGGGGCUAAUACCGGAUAGGAGCUCCUGCUGCAUGGUGGGGGUUGGAAAGGUUCGGCGGUUGGGGAUGGACGCGCGGCUUAUCAGCUUGUUGGUGGGGUAGUGGCUUACCAAGGCUUUGACGGGUAGCCGGCCUGGGAGGGUGACCGGCCACAUGGGGACUGAGAUACGGCCCAGACUCCUACGGGAGGCAGCAGUGGGGAGUAUUGCACAAUGGGCGGAAGCCUGAUGCAGCAGCGCCGCGUGCGGGAUGACGUCCUUCGGGUUGUAAACCGCUUUCGCCUGUGACGAAGCGUGAGUGACGGUAAUGGGUAAAGAAGCACCGGCUAACUACGUG